rnacentral:lncRNA from 1 species
CUGCAGUUUAAUUCCUUGUUCUUCUCUUACAGGAGCUUAUCAAAUGAUGUAAGGAAGACGGAUACCACAUUUCUUAUUCAGUCCAUCCUAAGUGACGUAGAAGGAACAUCACGCUUAGAAGAGACAGAUUCAUCCUCAUUUUCGUGGAGACGUUUUCUCGUAGCAACUGGCUAAAAGAAAGAUGCAGCAGGAUGGCUACAUUAAUCAGGUACAACAGAGCCUGACUGUUUUGUCUACUACAGAAUUACAGAUGUUGGAUAAAGUCUCCCUCCUGUAACCAAAACAGCAGCAUGACUAAUGAGUGUUUCUCUCCAGUGAUCUAAUGUGAGAAGCACAGAAAGGAAUACCCCCAAAUCUCUACGUGAACAGCAGAAAUGUAAGUUUCCUUGCCUUUAUCAGACACGUCUCUUCAGAAGAUGAAAGCAGCACAUUCUCCGGCUUCAGAUCCCGGUGUAUGAUUCCAUUGUCAUGAAGAUACUAGAUAUACACAAAUAUACAUAUAUGAAGAAAAGCUGACUAUUAUCCUUCUUUAAGAUAUAUGCUUUCCAGUUUUUCCAACAGCAGUGGCAGGAUAACUGAAAUUGCUAUUCAAGAGACAUGCAUGCAUUUAAAGCUACGCAGCUUGUGACCUUUUUUAAAGCCAAAGAAGUUCACACUUCAGUUUGCAAAGACCAAAAUGCUUCAUCAGGAUGCACAGUACAGCACUUAAGCACUAAUUGUUUGAAGGCUACUGUACUGAUAACUGAUUGCUCACACACUACUGGAAGCCUCACGU